GAUGAACGCUGGCGGCGUGCCUAAUACAUGCAAGUCGAGCGAACAGAUGAGGAGCUUGCUCCUCUGACGUUAGCGGCGGACGGGUGAGUAACACGUGGAUAACCUACCUAUAAGACUGGGAUAACUUCGGGAAACCGGAGCUAAUACCGGAUAAUAUAUUGAACCGCAUGGUUCAAUAGUGAAAGACGGUUUUGCUGUCACUUAUAGAUGGAUCCGCGCCGCAUUAGCUAGUUGGUAAGGUAACGGCUUACCAAGGCAACGAUGCGUAGCCGACCUGAGAGGGUGAUCGGCCACACUGGAACUGAGACACGGUCCAGACUCCUACGGGAGGCAGCAGUAGGGAAUCUUCCGCAAUGGGCGAAAGCCUGACGGAGCAACGCCGCGUGAGUGAUGAAGGUCUUCGGAUCGUAAAACUCUGUUAUUAGGGAAGAAUAAAUGUGUAAGUAACUAUGCACGUCUUGACGGUACCUAAUCAGAAAGCCACGGCUAACUACGUG
rnacentral:rRNA from 1 species